UUUAAAAAAAAGUGCCUUAAAAACUAC
rnacentral:rRNA from 1 species